GAAUAUGCUAACAUGACUUGAGAUAUCCUUAUACAACAAGCCUUGUAAGAGAAAAUCCAGUGUACUUUUUUUGAAAAAAAAAAUUCAAAAGGGAUAAGGUCACGAUUUAUUGCAUUAAAAAGAGGGUCCUUGUACGUCAAAGCGAUAGGCUAGUAACAAGUUGUUAGUAUAAAAUUAUUUCUACAGCAACCAAGGAAUAAAGGUCAAAAUAACAUUUUACUUUAAACAAAUAUAUUUUCUUUACAAAAGUUGUUGUUGAAUGGCUUUUUUUCAUAAAAAAAAAAUGGUAAAAAGGUCUCUGUUUUGGACCAGUUUAAAAAGUGUUUGAUAAGAUCAGACAAUGAGUUCCAGGACAGAUCUGUUACGGUCAAGGAUGCCUGCUGCAGUUUACUUUUGUAAGCGUUUUCGUUACACGGUGUCAAAGUACCGUAAUUGUUAAGGGUAAUGGUAAUGACAUAUGAAACAGCAUUAUCAUUACUUAAUAUAACAGAAAUUAAAGAUCUCCAUGCACUCCAAAAAUGUUUCAGACGUAAAGCCCUACACUGUCAUCCAGACAAAAUUGCUCAUCAACUUGAAAAAGAAGCAAAGACAUCCACCAAGCCAACGGAGGAAUUCCAACACGUUUUGGAAGCUUUUGAAUUUCUUGAAAAAAAAUUACUUAACAACAACAGUGAUUUAAAGUCACUCGAAUUUUCUACGGAAGACACACUUCAGGCAUACCAAAUAAAUUUGAGUGAAACGGAAAACGUUGGUCUUGAUACGUUUUUUUUUUCUUGUCGCUGCGGUUAUGAUGUCACCAUUGAUUUGGAUUUUGCAACACAACAUCAUUCAUUUACAAUCGUGUUUUGUGAGGGUUGUUCAUGCAAGUAUAAUGUCAGUUUGAAGACUUAACAAAAACUUUCCGCCUACAUUUCGCAAACAACUGUUUAGCUCACCUUUUGUGUCAGAAAUUGUCAUCAGGAUCACUUAA